GACGAACGCUGGCGGCGUGCUUAACACAUGCAAGUCGAACGGAAAGGCCCUGCUUUUGUGGGGUGCUCGAGUGGCGAACGGGUGAGUAACACGUGAGUAACCUGCCCUUGACUUUGGGAUAACUUCAGGAAACUGGGGCUAAUACCGGAUAGGAGCUCCUGCUGCAUGGUGGGGGUUGGAAAGUUUCGGCGGUUGGGGAUGGACUCGCGGCUUAUCAGCUUGUUGGUGGGGUAGUGGCUUACCAAGGCUUUGACGGGUAGCCGGCCUGGGAGGGUGACCGGCCACAUUGGGACUGAGAUACGGCCCAGACUCCUACGGGAGGCAGCAGUGGGGAAUCUUGCACAAUGGGCGGAAGCCUGAUGAAGCAACGCCGCGUGCGGGAUGACGGCCUUCGGGUUGUAAACCGCUUUCGCCUGUGACGAAGCGUGAGUGACGGUAAUGGGUAAAGAAGCACCGGCUAACUACGUG
rnacentral:rRNA from 1 species